rnacentral:rRNA from 1 species
GUAGGUGGCAAGCGUUGUCCGGAAUUAUUGGGCGUAAAGCGCGCGCAGGCGGUCCUUUAAGUCUGAUGUGAAAGCCCACGGCUCAACCGUGGAGGGUCAUUGGAAACUGGGGGACUUGAGUACAGAAGAGGAAAGCGGAAUUCCAAGUGUAGCGGUGAAAUGCGUAGAGAUUUGGAGGAACACCAGUGGCGAAGGCGGCUUUCUGGUCUGUAACUGACGCUGAGGCGCGAAAGCGUGGGGUAGCAAACAGGGAUUAGAUACCCUGGUAGUCCACGCCGUAAACGAUGAGUGCUAAGUGUUAGGGGGUUUACCCGCCCCCUUAGUGCUGCAGCUAACGCAUUAAGCACUCCGCCUGGGGAGUACGGCCGCAAGGCUG